UACGUAGGGGGCAAGCGUUGUCCGGAUUUACUGGGCGUAAAGAGCGUGUAGGCGGUCAGGUAGGUCCGUUGUGAAAACUCGAGGCUCAACCUCGAGACGCCGAUGGAAACCAUCUGACUAGAGUCCGGAAGAGGAGAGUGGAAUUCCUGGUGUAGCGGUGAAAUGCGCAGAUAUCAGGAGGAACACCGGUGGCGAAGGCGGGUCUCUGGGAAGUAACUGACGCUGAGAAGCGAAAGCAUGGGUAGCAAACAGG
rnacentral:rRNA from 1 species